AGGUAAGGAUGGUGUGGGGGAGAGUAGUGGUGGACUGGAGGAGGAGGUGACUUAUAUACGUACUUUUUCUUAGGUGGUGGUGGGGAAUGAUAAACCGGAGGAGGAGAGUAGUGCUUAACCGGAGGAGGAGGGGAUUUGUAGACGUAGUGCUUCUUUGGUGGUGGUGGAGAAUGGUAAACCGGUGGUGGAGAAUAGUGUUUAACUGGAGGAGGAGGGGAUUUGUACACGUAAUGUUUCUUUGGUGGUGGUGGGGAAUGGUAAACCGGAGGGGGAGAGUAGUGUUUCACUGGAGGAGGAGGAGAUUUGUAGACGUAGUGUUUCUUUGGUGGGGGUGGGGAAUGGUAAACUGGAGGAGGGGAGUAGUGCUUAACCGGGGGAGGAGGGGAUUUGUACACGUAGUGUUUCUUUGGUGGUGGUGGAGAGUGGUAAACUGGAGGUGGAGAAUAGUGCUUAACUGGAGGAGGAGGUGAUUUGUACACGUAGUGUUUCUUUGGUGGUGGUGGAGAGUGGUAAACCGGGGGAGGAGAGUAGUGUUUAACCGGUGGUGGAGGAGAUUUGUAGACAUAAUGCUUUUUAGGUGGGGGUGGGGAAUGGUAAACUGGAGGUGGUGAGUAGUGUUUAACCGGAGGAGGAGGAGAUUUGUAUACGUAAUGUUUUUUGGGUGGUGGUGGUGAAUGGUAGACUGGUGGGGGAGAGUAGUGCUUAACAGGUGGGGGUGGAGAUUUGUACACAUAGUGCUUCUUGGGUGGUGGUGGAGAAUGGUAAACAGGAGGAGGAGAAUAGUGUUUAACCGGAGGAGGAGGGGAUUUGUACACAUAGUGCUUCUUUGGUGGUGGUGGAGAAUGGUAAACCGGUGGUGGAGAGUAGUGCUUAACCGGAGGAGGAGGGGAUUUGUACACGUAGUCCUUUUUUGGUGGUGGUGGAGAGUGAUAAACCGGUGGUGGAGAAUAGUGCUUGACCGGAGGAGGAGGGGAUUUGUAUUCGUAGUGUUUUUUAGGUGGUGGUGGAGAAUGGUAAACUGGAGAGGGAGAGUAAUGCUUAACAGGAGGAGGUGGAGAUUUGUAUUGGUAGUGUUUAACCGGAG
rnacentral:lncRNA from 1 species